UUAGUGGCGGACGGGUGAGUAACGCGUGGAUAACCUGCCGUAUACCGGGGGAUAACACUUAGAAAUAGGUGCUAAUACCGCAUAAGCGCACGGCUCCGCAUGGGGCAGUGUGAAAAACUCCGGUGGUAUACGAUGGAUCCGCGUCUGAUUAGCUAGUUGGCGGGGUAACGGCCCACCAAGGCAGCGAUCAGUAGCCGGCCUGAGAGGGUGGACGGCCACAUUGGGGCUGAGACACGGCCCAAACUCCUACGGGAGGCAGCAG
rnacentral:rRNA from 1 species